AGAUACCCUAUUAUUUUAAGCUAUAUAUUGGUAGUAAUUAAUAAUUUAUGAAAUCAUAAGAUUUUGGCGGUAUUUUAAGCUUAUUAGAGGAAUUUGCUCUGUAAUGGAUACAACGCCUUAAUCUUACUUAAUUUGGUUUUAAAGUCAGUUUGUAUACCACUAUAUUUAAUUAUAUUGAAUAAUUAUAUUUAAGAUUUUUUUUUUAUAAAAAAUAUAUUAAGUCAAGGUGCAAUUUAUAAUUAUGAAUGAAGUGAAUUACAUUAAUUUUAAUUUUACUUAAAUAUUGAAAAAAAAUUAUAGGAUUUAAUAGUAAAAUGUUAA
rnacentral:rRNA from 1 species